rnacentral:rRNA from 1 species
UGGCCUUGACAUGUUGCGGACCGGCGCAGAAAUGCGCCUUUCCUUCGGGACUGCAUCACAGGUGCUGCAUGGCUGUCGUCAGCUCGUGUCGUGAGAUGUUCGGUUAAGUCCGGCAACGAGCGCAACCCUCGUUCCUAGUUGCCAGCGGGUAAUGCCGGGGACUCUAGGAAGACAAACCUCGUGCAGAGGUGGGAAGGUGGGGACGACGUCAAGUCAGUAUGGCCCUUACGGCCAGGGCUGCACACGUGCUACAAUGCCCGGUACAAUGGGAAGCGACGCCGCGAGGCCGAGCACAACCUCAAAACCGGGCCCAGUUCGGAUUGGAGUCUGCAACUCGACUCCAUGAAGCUGGAAUCGCUAGUAAUGGCGUAUCAGCAACGACGCCGUGAAUACGUUCCCGGGCCU